rnacentral:rRNA from 1 species
UACGUAGGGUGCGAGCGUUAAUCGGAAUUACUGGGCGUAAAGCGUGCGCAGGCGGCGGCUCAAGUCAGGUGUGAAAUCCCCGGGCUUAACCUGGGAACUGCGCUUGAAACUAGGUUGCUAGAGUGUGGCAGAGGGGGGUGGAAUUCCACGUGUAGCAGUGAAAUGCGUAGAGAUGUGGAGGAACACCGAUGGCGAAGGCAGCCCCCUGGGUCAACACUGACGCUCAUGCACGAAAGCGUGGGGAGCAAACAGG